CGGUAUAACAAACAUUUAGUAAUACUGAGUAAUACUAUUGUAUAAUUGUGUUCAAUUGCAUGAGUCUGCUGACCCACUAGCUGGUCUUUCAGACCCACCAGCUGGUCCUUAGGAUCCACUUGCCAAGGAUGAUAAUGGUGGUUUAUGUGCGAUAGGCAAGGAAGAACCAACUCGGAAAGAAGUCCAACCCAAUUAGAUUUGGCUUCUUGUGUUUGGAUACAAUGAGGGAGAACGUGUUCAUAUAUUUCAAAUGCCAAGGUCGCAUGUAUAGCUUGAUGAUGAAGACAUCAUGGGAGAAGAUAACUCUCUCCAUGUUAGAAGCUUACUCAAAAUCGAAUGUUCGAAAUGACUGGAGAAGAUGCUACGUCCGUAGAGCCAUUUGGGAGAAAAUUUCGACUUUUUAAUUUAUUCCACAUGGUCUUCUACUUCUUAUCUAGCAUUGUUAUUGGGCACACACAGAUUGGAGAAGAUGCUACGUCCAUGGAGUCAUAUUUUCUGAGAGCAUUGUAUGAUAUGAACUAUUUUGGGUUGUAAUGUUUCUAAUCUGUGUUCAUUGUUUACAUCCCACAUGAAAUUGAUAGUAUCAUGGUAGCUGGAGGUGAAGAAGAAUAUACCUUCUUUAUU